rnacentral:rRNA from 1 species
UUAUAUUUUAUUUAUUAAUUAAUUUUUUUUUUAUUAUAAAUUAUUAAAAAUAAUUAUUAUAAGUUUUGUUUAAGUAUUUUAUAAAGAAAAAAUAAUUUUAAUUAUAGUUAAAUAGUAUUGUGAAAGAAAAUUGAAAUAAUUUGAAAAAUUAAUAUUUUAAAAGAAAAUUUAAUUUAUUGUACCUUGUGUAUCAGGGUUUAUUAAAUAAAAAUUAUUUAUUAUAAUUUUCUCGAUUUUAAAAGAGUUAAUAUAUUAUUAAAGUUAAUGUUGUAAAAUUAUUUUGUAUAAUAUAUUAGAAAUGAAAUGUUAUUCGUUUUUAAAGGUAUCUAGUUCUUUAAGAAAUAAAUUUAAUUUAGAAAUUUUAUAUUAUUUAGUUAAAUAUAUUAAUUAAAUAAAUAUUUUAUUUUAAUAUUUUAUGGGAUAAGCUAUGAAAUAAAUUAUUAAAAAUUAUUAAAUGAUUUAGUAAAUAUAAGCUUAGAAAUAGCUAUUAUUAGUAAAAUUGUUAUAAUUUAUUUUAUUAUAUUGAUUAUUUAUUAAAUUUUAAUUAUGUAUUAAAGUAUUUAUUUUAAUUUAAAAAAUAAAAAAAUAAUGAUAAAAUUAGUAUAUUAUGUUGUAUAAAUAUAAUAAAUUGAUAAGUUUUUAUAAAGAACUCGGCAAAAAUAAUGUUCGCCUGUUUAACAAAAACAUGUCUUUUUGAAUUUUUUUUAAAGUCUAGCCUGCCCACUGAAUAACUUAAAUGGCCGCAGUAUAUUAACUGUGCAAAGGUAGCAUAAUCAUUAGUCUUUUAAUUGAAGGCUGGUAUGAAUGGUUGGACGAGAUAUUAACUGUUUCAUAAAAAUUUAUAAUAGAAUUUUAUUUUUUAGUCAAAAAGCUAAAAUAAUAUUAAAAGACGAGAAGACCCUAUAAAUCUUUAUAUAUAUAGAUUAUUAGAAUUUUGUAGAUUUUUUUUAUUAUAAUAAUUAAUUGUAUUUUAUUGGGGUGAUAUUAAAAUUUAAUAAACUUUUAAUUUUUUUUAUCAUUAAUUUAUGAAUAAUUGAUCCGUUAAUAGCGAUUAAAAAAAUAAGUUACUUUAGGGAUAACAGCGUAAUUUUUUUGGAGAGUUCAUAUCGAUAAAAAAGAUUGCGACCUCGAUGUUGGAUUAAGAUAUAAUUUUAGGUGUAGCCGCUUAAAUUUUAAGUCUGUUCGACUUUUAAAUUCUUACAUGAUCUGAGUUCAAACCGGCGUAAGCCAGGUUGGUUUCUAUCUUUAGUUAAUUAAAAUAUUUCAGUACGAAAGGACCUAAUAUUUAAUAAAUAAUUAUUUUUAUAUUGAAUAUAAAUAAUUUAU